UAUCAACCCCGGUUGAUCCUGCCGGACCCGACCGCUAUCGGGGUGGGACUAAGCCAUGGGAGUCGUGCGCCCCGGGGAAUGGCGGGGCGCGGCGCACGGCUCAGUAACACGUAGCUAACCUACCCUCGGGACGGGGAUAACCCCGGGAAACUGGGGCUAAUCCCCGAUAGGGGAGGGCACCUGGAAUGGGCCCUCUCCGAAAGGGGCACGGUGCCACCCUCGCCGUGCCCGCC
rnacentral:rRNA from 1 species